rnacentral:rRNA from 1 species
GACGAACCGCGCGAACGUUGUUCGGAAUCACUGGGCUUAAAGGGCGCGUAGGCGGGUGCUCAAGUCCGUGGUGAAAUCCUCCGGCUCAACCGGAGAACUGCCUCGGAUACUGGGUGCCUCGAGGGUGGUAGGGGUAUGCGGAACUAUCGGUGGAGCGGUGAAAUGCGUUGAUAUCGAUAGGAACACCUGCGGCGAAGGCGGGUUGCUGGGCUGACACUGACGCUGAAGCGCGAAAGCUAGGGGAGCGAACGGG